AUUGAACGCUGGCGGCAGGCCUAACACAUGCAAGUCGAGCGAGCGGCGGACGGGUGAGUAAUGUCUGGGAAACUGCCUGAUGGAGGGGGAUAACUACUGGAAACGGUAGCUAAUACCGCAUACCAUCGGAUGUGCCCAUAUGGGAUUAGCUAGUAGGUGGGGUAAAGGCUCACCUAGGCGACGAUCCCUAGCUGGUCUGAGAGGAUGACCAGCCACACUGGAACGUGGACACGGUCCAGACUCCUACGGGAGGCAGCAGUGGGGAAUAUUGCACAAGGGGCGCAAGCCUGAUGCAGCCAUGCCGCGUGUGUGAAGAAGGCCUUCGGGUUGUAAAGUACUUUCAGCGGGGAGGCGUUACUCGCAGAAGAAGCACCGGCUAACUCCGUGCCAGCAGCCGCGGUAAUAC
rnacentral:rRNA from 1 species